rnacentral:rRNA from 1 species
GAUGAACGCUGGCGGCGUGCCUAAUACAUGCAAGUCGAGCGAAUGGAUUAAGAGCUCGCUCUUAUGAAGUUAGCGGCGGACGGGUGAGCAACACGUGGGUAACCUGCCCAUAAGACUGGGAUAACUCCGGGAAACCGGGGCUAAUACCGGAUAACAUUUUGAACCGCAUGGUUCGAAAUUGAAAGGCGGCUUCGGCUGUCACUUAUGGAUGGACCCGCGUCGCAUUAGCUAGUUGGUGAGGUAACGGCUGACCAAGGCAACGAUGCGUAGCCGACCUGAGAGGGUGAUCGGCCACACUGGGACUGAGACACGGCCCAGACUCCUACGGGAGGCAGCAGUAGGGAAUCUUCCGCAAUGGACGAAAGUCUGACGGAGCAACGCCGCGUGAGUGAUGAAGGCUUUCGGGUCGUAAAACUCUGUUGUUAGGGAAGAACAAGUGCUAGUUGAAUAAGCUGGCACCUUGACGGUACCUAACCAGAAAGCCACGGCUAACUACGUGCCAGCCGCCGCAGUAA